rnacentral:lncRNA from 1 species
GCGCUUGCGCACGUCGGAGGGCCGCCCCUGGUCCGUGGGUCGGAUAUCUGGCGGUCACACCCAGCGCGAAGAUCUGCGGGCGGAAACGGAAUCUGCUCCUUCCGGGAAAGGCUGGCUGCGCGGUUGCGUGCAGCGUGUGUUGAGGAGCAGCUCUGGAAACUUAAAGAGCCCGACGAUCAAGUGAUCUUGCCAACUACCAUUUUAAUCAACUUCAUGUUUUAUUUUGUUGUGGUGGUACAGAGCCCAAUGCAAGCCCUGGCAGAUGUCUUCAACACCAGAGUGACACUCAGGCCAGGAUUGAGGGCUGGAAGCACAGGGGCAAGAAAUACCUUUGAAACACUCCAGUGCCCAAAUUGCUCACUGGUGUUUCUGCCUUGUGAGCCAGGGCACGAGGCUUUGUUUGGGUCACUACUUUUCAUUCCUUCCAAGAUGGACAAGAUGUUUGUUUUGUGCACAGUAAGUGGAACACAGGGCCUCCAGCAUGGUGCUUGUAUGAUCUCAUCAGAAACUAAGGAAUAGAUCAGUGUCUUGAACAUGCUACGCAAGCCCCCUAACAGCCAAGCGAUUCCAGCAGCUCUACAGACACCCUUUCACUGAGCAGUUAUUUCUCCUCAGAUGUUCUGAUUGCUGUGGGCAGCCUCCAAACACUUUGAAAAAGCUGGAGAGAAAGGUAAACUUGAAAAGGGGAAUGCAAGAUAGAGGAGGCAAAGGGAGAGAAGCAGGCUCAACUGUGUUCAUCUCAACAGGGCUGGGGCCUGCAGGCUGCUGGCAGCACCAAGCUAAGGUGCAUUUCCACUCAACGGAAAGACCUCCAUCCUAAACCAAGGGGACAGAGGUUAAUGCUUUAUAUAUAUUUAUAUAUUUAUAUAUUACAUAUGUCCCAUAUGUAUAAAGUGACAAGAAUGGGCCACUUUGUGUAACUUUAAUUAAAGGACAUAGCAACAGACAUAGAAAUUUGAUCCUAAUUAAGGCCCUUACUUUGUCAAUCAAAUGUCUGAUACAGUAAAAGAAACUGGAGAAAGACAGAGACUGAGAUCCAGCCUCCUCUGGUAGCCCUGUCUCCAGGUUAUCUUACAUUGAGUGUCGUGCCCCCUGUACAGGUAAACAAACACACACAUAAACACACACGUACAAUACCACAGGCAGGAGCACCUCCUCUGACCACACCUUGGGCCCAGCCUUUGGCUGCGGUGCUGAAGUGGAGUAUAUUGUGCUAUAAGACUGAGGGUAGUGAACCAGACAAUGUGGAGUCAUUGUGUCCAAGUGAUGAAUGGGGUGACUCGUGCAGCUUCAUCUAUAAAUGACAGGUCAGGGGGAGGUCCCUCAAUGCCCAGAUCAUAUCAGGAGAUUUCUACACACAGCUCCUGUUCCAGAGAAAGCCAUUACUCUGAUUUGAAUCCUGAGUGUCAAUCACAGGGCUCUGACGGAAACCUAGGAUUCUCUUGAAGGGCAGGCAGCCACAAGGCUCAGCCAUUCAGUCCAGUAGAGCAGUAGAGAGUACAACAGUGGAGGCAAAGCAAGUGAUCCUCAGACAGGACCUUAACUGAUGCAAGACAAGACCCUGGAUGGUGCAAGAGGGGCUCGUAUCCCAAAAGGAGUAGAAGGGCCUGCUGCCCUUUGCCACACAAAACUUCUGGCAGAUCUGUCAGCUUCAUGCCUUCCAUAAGUAACAGACCUGCUCAUAAGCCAGGGAAGGAGACUCCCAACAUUAGGGCACUUGAAAUCCUAACUCCCUGUUUUCUCUCACUGAAAUUACCCACCACCACCUACCAAAAUAUACAUAUUGAAAAUAAGUCAACAUAUUUGGCAGUAUGAUUUUUAGUAUUAAGAGAAUUUCGGAAUUUUUCAUCCUGAUUUUACACUCAGUAAUAAUUAA